UUUCUUCCCCCCCCCCCCCCCAUAUUUUUCUUCUUGAAAAUUACUAGUAUAAAUUGUUGCUUUGCUUCUCAACACCAUGCACAUUAUGUCAAAGAGUGGUUUUUGUGGUUGCAGCCUUGAAUAUAUUCUGAGACCUCACUUUCAUAAACUAUCUCAUAGACGUUGAUGAGAAUUUAGUUUAUAGUGUUUAGGAACUCUUUUUUUUGGGGUGCGGGAGGGAGAGGAGAGGAGCGAAGAUGGGGAGGGUUGGGACUUGGGAUGCUUGUACCUUUUUUAUGCUACAGAACUGCCGUAGGCACUCAUAGCCAGAUUAAGCUCUGAUAGGGACAUCUUCAACAAAGAAAAGCUAGCUUGGAUCUCGAAGUGGCGCAUCAUAGUAUCAUUCCAAUUUCAUAUGCGCAUGAGGCCUAGUGGUAUAUUUGCAGGGGUGCAAUCUAGUUGUCGCAAGUUCAAUUCCUAGAAGCAGUCUCUCCGCAUAUUAUGUGGGGGUAAGGUCCGUGUGCAUCCUGCUUGUCUCCGACCCCACCCACUACGAGAGGCUUGCUCGAGAGUUUUUUUAUUUAUUUACGUGCAUGUGAAUGCGGCUUUUUUUAUGAUGUCAAAAUUUGAAUUUGAGUUCCUCCAUCAGAGUUCAAAUAUUCAUAUAAUUGGCUUUGGCAUUAUUG